rnacentral:rRNA from 1 species
GGUUGAUCCUGCCAGUAGUCAUAUGCUUGUCCCAAAGAUUAAGCCAUGCAUGUCUAAGUAUAAACCUUUAUACGGUGAAACUGCGAAUGGCUCAUUAAAUCAGUUAUAAUUUAUUUGAUGGUCUCUUUACUACUUGGAUAACCGUGGUAAUUCUAGAGCUAAUACAUGCAAAAAGCCCAACUUCUGGAAGGGCUGUAUUUAUUAGGUAAAAACCAACGCCGCAAGGCACCUUGGUGAUUCAUAAUAACUCUGCGGAUCGUAUGGCCUUGCGCCGACGACGCUUCAUUCAAAUU